CCAACAGGAAGAUGGAACAAGUGCCAUCGAGUUCGUGAAUUUCAGAAGUCAACAGCCCUGCAAACCACCUCCCCGCAGACAAAGAUCCCCUGCCUUCAAUAAAGAGAAUGAGGCCUUUGAGACUGGACAGGACAGUUGGCGGACGGAGCGGGUUGAUUCCCUGGGAGCCCAGACUGCUUCAAGACAGAGGAAAUAACAGGCGGUGGAGUGCAGUAUUGCAGGAAAAAUAUGGAGUUCCAACCAGCAGAUAGAAAAUACUAG